rnacentral:rRNA from 1 species
AUCAUUACACAAAUAUGAAGGCGGGCUGGCCCUCCCGGGGUGGCCAGCCUUGCUGAAUUAUUCCACCCGUGUCUUUUGCGUACUUCUUGUUUCCUUGGUGGGCUCGCCCACCACAAGGACCAACCCAUAAACCUUUUUGCAAUGGCAAUCAGCGUCAGUAACAAUGUAAUAAUUUACAACUUUCAACAACGGAUCUCUUGGUUCUGGCAUCGAUGAAGAACGCACCGAAAUGCGAUAAGUAGUGUGAAUUGCAUAAUUCAGUGAAUCAUCCAAUCUUUGAACGCACAUUGCGCCCUUUGGUAUUCCAAAGGGCAUGCCUGUUCGAGCGUCAUUUGUACCCUCAAGCUUUGCUUGGUGUUGGGCGUCUUUUUGUCUCCCCUUGCGGGAGACUCGCCUUAAAGUCAUUGGCAGCCGGCCUACUGGUUUCGGAGCGCAACACAAGUCGCGCUCUCUUCCAGCCCCAAGGUCUAGCAUCCACCAAGCCUUUUUUUUCAACUUUUGACCUCGGAUCAGGUAGGGAUACC